UACAGAGGGGGCAAGCGUUGUUCGGAAUUACUGGGCGUAAAGGGCUUGUAGGUGGCCAACUAAGUCAGACGUGAAAUCCCUCGGCUUAACCGGGGAACUGCGUCUGAUACUGGAUGGCUGGAGUGUGGGAGAGGGAUGCGGAAUUCCAGGUGUAGCGGUGAAAUGCGUAGAUAUCUGGAGGAACACCGGUGGCGAAGGCGGCAUCCUGGACCAUUACUGACACUGAAAAGCGAAAGCCAGGGGAGCAAACGGG
rnacentral:rRNA from 1 species